CCCUGGCUGGCUCAGUCGGUAGAGCAUGUGACUCUUGAUCUCAGGGUUGUGAGUUCGAGCCCCAUGUUGGGCU
rnacentral:tRNA from 1 species